CCGGAUGCCAGCACUGUCCUCGCUGAGCUUUACCUGUACUGAUUUGCCGGGUAUGGAAUACUUGCUCGAUAUGCCAGGGCUCCAGUACCUUUCCUUCCACCAUAUUUCGGGUUAUCGCAUACCAUUUGACAGCUUCCCAGGAAGACUUGUAAAUCUCAGAAAGCUAGUAUUUGUCCGCUGUUUUGGAGACCAAAGAAAAGUAGAUGAAAUGUGUGCUCUGAUGCCAGAUGUGGAGGUAGAAGGAACGCUGAUGGCGUGGAAAUGAAAAUGUUUUGGUUUUGGAUUCUGAUUUGGUCAGAUGCUUUUCAAGCCAGUAUAUAUGACCCAUCCAACUUCUCUUGAAGUUUAUGAAGUACUUCACACACUACCUCAUUUUGAUGCUACCUGUUACUAACUGCAUGUAAAUCUAAUCUGUAUUAAAAGCAUAUUUUGCCAGAUUCUUGAGGUUUUGUAUGUGGCUUUAUUUUGGCACUCUUACUGUAACUGGAUGAUUAUAAUGAACAACGGGCAUAUCUCAAUACAAGGCAUGUCCCGAAAGUAAGUACCAUUUUGGGGAAAAACUCAUAAAAACCUUUUUAUCAAAACAAAAUUUAUUUUUGCAAGAAAGGACAUUUCUUAAACUAUUUUUCUACAUAGCUUCCACUGUUGUUCAGACAUUUGUCACAGCGGGAAGCCAAAUUUUCUAUGCCCUCUUCAUAGAACGAC